CUCACUCUCUCUUUUCUCUCUCAGCUCCCUCGUCUCUUUCCUUCUCUGCAACAUACACACAUACACACCGAACCACCAUCACUCGACUUCUCCGACGAGUUAGACCGUCGGACCACCACUGUGCCCUAUGUUUCCCUAUUUCUGUAAGCUUAGACCAUGAGCAUUAACCUAGACGUGGAGCUCGACACUGCACAGAAACCUUACCACUAUUCCUCAUCUCUUUCAUGGAACUCCAGCAAGAUUUCUCAGUUUUCCGACUUGGGUAAGUUCUGUCUUCCUUCCUUUGGACCUUAGUGAUGUUUUGGUUAUGCUUAAAACCUUGAGACUGUGUCAUGGUUAUGUUUUGGUACAGUUACACCUUAGAAAUCUUUCCCCAGAAAUGUUUGAGGCUGGAACUGUGAUCAUUUAAUCACUUUCAGAUCAUUUUUUCCGCUAACCUCGACCACAACUGGACUCCUAAUAGGUGUAGAUUUGUUCUCUAUAUUCUUAACUUCAAAAUGGCUUUUGAAUCACUGAGUUUGGUUAGCUAUCGAGUUAGAAAUCAACUCUGAAAUUUGGGAAAAAAUUCCCAAAUUUCUAGAGUAGUUUGACCAUGGCCAUUUGGCCACUUUUAGACCCAAUUUCUGGACAACACGAACCACCUUUGAACUUUUAGUAAAUAUAGAUCGAUUCAUUACUUUCUUAGCUUCAAAUUGGUCUUUGUAGAAUUGAUUUUGGUUGAGAAUUGAGCUCGUUAGGAGCUCUAGAAGUUGGACUAGAAACUUGCAAAAAUUUCAGGUUUUCGCUAAGAAGGUGAGUACGGUUGUACUCGCAGAACAUGGGUACACGUGGUCUCAUAUGGGUCAUCGGCUUGUGUGGUGCAUGGAUACCAGUGCAGCUACUUAUGGAGGCGCGUGAUGGUGAGUCCGGCUUUCAACCGGCAUGUGGUCGACGUGUGUGGGUCUGUGACAUCGAGUAGAUCGAUUUUGUAUAUUCAAACCUUAUGUUUGACCAAUCUACGGAGGUUUUAUUUAAGUUUCCAUUUAUGUGUUAUUAAACUAAGUUAAUUAGUAAUUUCACAUAUAGGGGAACAUAUCCUGAGGGCGUACGGGGUCAACCAAGGCUCGGGGGCUACGAUCUGACAACAUACUUAUGAGUGGGCAGUUUGUUUUUAUACCUAUAUAUAGUUAUAGUUCCCUUAAAUGUGUAUUUACUUCAUUUUUAUGCUUAUAUUGCCAAGUAACGUUAUUGUGCUAUUAAAUGUGAUAAAUAUUGCUAUAUCGUUUGGAUAUUACUGUCAUGACAUUCUUACAUGCUUGUGCAUGCUCAUCUUGUUGCACCCGGUGUUAGUACUCGCCCUAGGGCCAGGGCCAGCCUUUCACAUUUAUGUUCACAUCCGCACCGUUCGCUCGCCUUGGAUCCAAGUUAGGUGUCAGUCCUGUCGUACAGAUUGCAUUAGGCAAUCCCGACUCGUAUGUAAUCGUGCUUAUGCACCAGCCUUCAUGUGAUCGUAGUGUUAGAGUAUAUUGAUUACACCCAGUCCUAUUCUUUUUAGAAAUUAUCUGUACGAACUCGUGUGUCAGCUUAGAUGGAUGAGCACUUAGUUAUACUUGAUUAUCACAUGAUUAUAUUGCGACAUUUGAGAUAUCAUGACUUGGCAUAUUUCUGGUUAUAUUGUUGUUUACAUACUUACGUAGUAUGUUUUAAGGAAACUAUACUUGUUUUACAGUAAGGGGUUACUAUGUUCGAAAAUAAAGGUUUUCUUACAAACGUGCUGACCCACUCUACUUUGUCCCUCUAGGCUUAGUAACUGUGCUUACGUGUAAACGAGGAUUCUGGCAAAUCUCAGGAGAUGGUUAUCUUCAGUGGUCUAACCCUCAUCCUAUUUAAUAUACUAUCUUAUGCUCAGACAUCACGUGUGAAAUGCAUUCAAUCCCGUUCACCUGUGCACUCUUUUGAUUAGGCACUUUUAGGUUUAAAUUUAUUCACAUCUUUUUCCCACUACACUUCACUGUAUGGCUUCGUCAC
rnacentral:lncRNA from 1 species